rnacentral:lncRNA from 1 species
GUGAAGAUUUAGGGGGACCUUGAUAGAGAACUUUAUAAACUUCUUUCUCUUUAAUAAAGACUUGUCUUACACCGUGCUGCCAUUAAAGGCAGCUGUUCCUAGAGUUUCAAUCACCUAAGUACACCCACAAAACAAGAAUAUGGAGAUCUUCCUUUACCCCUCAACUUUAAUUUGCCCAGUUAUACCUCAGUGUUGUAGCAGUACUGUGAUACCUGGCACAGUGCUUUGAUCUUAUGAUGCCCUCUGUACUGACCUGAAGGAGACCUAAGAGUCCUUUCCCUUUUUGAGUUUGAAUCAUAGCCUUGAUGUGGUCUCUUGUUUUAUGUCCUUGUUCCUAAUGUAAAAGUGCUUAACUGCUUCUUGGUUGUAUUGGGUAGCAUUGGGAUAAGAUUUUAACUGGGUAUUCUUGAAUUGCUUUUACAAUAAACCAAUUUUAUAAUCUUUAAAUUUAUCAACUUUUUACAUUUGUGUUAUUUUCAGUCAGGGCUUCUUAGAUCUACUUAUGGUUGAUGGAGCACAUUGAUUUGGAGUUUCAGAUCUUCCAAAGCACUAUUUGUUGUAAUAACUAUUUUCUAAAUAUAGUGCCUUUAAAGGAAAAAUGAACACAGGGAAGUGACUUUGCUACAAAUAAUGUUGCUGUGUUAAGUAUUCAUAUUAAAUACAUGCCUUCUAUAUGGAACAUGGCAGAAAGACUGAAAAAUAACAGUAAUUAAUUGUGUAAUUCAGAAUUCAUACCAAUCAGUGUUGAAACUCAAACAUUGCAAAAGUGGGUGGCAAUAUUCAGUGCGUAACACUUUUAUAGCAUUGGUACAUCUGAGAAAUGAGUGCUCAGGUGGAUUUUAUCCUCGCAAGCAUGUUAUAAGAAUUGUGGGUGUGCCUAUCAUAACAAUUGUUUUCUGUAUCUUGAAAAAGUAUUCUCCACAUUUUAAAUGUUUUAUAUUAGAGAAUUCUUUAAUGCACACUUGUCAAAUAUAUAUAUAUAUAGUACCAAUGUUACCUUUUUAUUUUUUGUUUUAGAUGUAAGAGCAUGCUCAUAUGUUAGGUACUUACAUAAAUUGUUACAUUAUUUUUUCUUAUGUAAUACCUUUUUGUUUGUUUAUGUGGUUCAAAUAUAUUCUUUCC